CGCCACAGAUCGGGAGGAACCAGUAUACUGACUUGAUGAACCAGUGCUUAAUGUCUCCUGUCUGUCUUCUAGGUCUAAGACUGCUGGGCAUCGGGAGGAACCAGUAUAUUGACUUGAUGAACCAGUGCUUAAUGUCUCCUGUCUGUCUUCUAGGUCUAAGACUGCUGGGCAUCGGGAGGAACCAGUAUAUAGACUUGAUGAACCAGUGC